UACGUAGGUGGCAAGCGUUGUUCGGAAUCACUGGGCUUAAAGGGCGCGUAGGCGGGUUCGUAAGUCUGUGGUGAAAGCCCCCAGCUUAACUGGGGAAGUGCCAUGGAUACUGCGAGUCUUGAGGAGGGUAGGGGCAUCUGGAACACUGGGUGGAGCGGUGAAAUGCGUUGAUAUCCAGUGGAACUCCGGUGGCGAAGGCGAGGUGCUGGACCCUUUCUGACGCUGAUGCGCGAAAGCCAGGGGAGCAAACGGG
rnacentral:rRNA from 1 species